rnacentral:tRNA from 1 species
GAGAUUCUAGUAAAACCAUUACAUUACCUUGUCAGAGUAAAAUUGUGGGCUAAUACCCCACGAAUCUUA